GAGUUUGAUCCUGGCUCAGGACGAACGCUGGCGGCGCGCCUAACACAUGCAAGUCGAACGAGAGAGAGGGAGCUUGCUUCCUCAAUCGAGUGGCGAACGGGUGAGUAACGCGUGAGGAACCUGCCUCAAAGAGGGGGACAACAGUUGGAAACGACUGCUAAUACCGCAUAAGCCCACAGCUCGGCAUCGAGCAGAGGGAAAAGGAGCAAUCCGCUUUGAGAUGGCCUCGCGUCCGAUUAGCUAGUUGGUGAGGUAACGGCCCACCAAGGCAACGAUCGGUAGCCGGACUGAGAGGUUGAACGGCCACAUUGGGACUGAGACACGGCCCAGACUCCUACGGGAGGCAGCAGUGGGGAAUAUUGCACAAUGGGGGAAACCCUGAUGCAGCGACGCCGCGUGGAGGAAGAAGGUCUUCGGAUUGUAAACUCCUGUUGUUGAGGAAGAUAAUGACGGUACUCAACAAGGAAGUGACGGCUAACUACGUGCCAGCAGCCGCGGUAAAACGUAGGUCACAAGCGUUGUCCGGAAUUACUGGGUGUAAAGGGAGCGCAGGCGGGAAGACAAGUUGGAAGUGAAAUCUAUGGGCUCAACCCAUAAACUGCUUUCAAAACUGUUUUUCUUGAGUAGUGCAGAGUAGGCGGAAUUCCCGGUGUAGCGGUGGAAUGCGUAGAUAUCGGGAGGAACACCAGUGGCGAAGGCGGCCUACUGGGCACCAACUGACGCUGAGGCUCGAAAGUGUGGGUAGCAAACAGGAUUAGAUACCCUGGUAGUCCACACCGUAAACGAUGAUUACUAGGUGUUGGAGGAUUGACCCCUUCAGUGCCGCAGUUAACACAAUAAGUAAUCCACCUGGGGAGUACGACCGCAAGGUUGAAACUCAAAGGAAUUGACGGGGGCCCGCACAAGCAGUGGAGUAUGUGGUUUAAUUCGACGCAACGCGAAGAACCUUACCAAGUCUUGACAUCCUGCGACGCACAUAGAAAUAUGUGUUUCCUUCGGGACGCAGAGACAGGUGGUGCAUGGUUGUCGUCAGCUCGUGUCGUGAGAUGUUGGGUUAAGUCCCGCAACGAGCGCAACCCUUACUGUCAGUUACUACGCAAGAGGACUCUGGCAGGACUGCCGUUGACAAAACGGAGGAAGGUGGGGAUGACGUCAAAUCGUCAUGCCCUUUAUGACUUGGGCUACACACGUACUACAAUGGCGUUAAACAAAGAGAAGCAAGACCGCGAGGUGGAGCAAAACUCAGAAACAACGUCCCAGUUCGGACUGCAGGCUGCAACUCGCCUGCACGAAGUCGGAAUUGCUAGUAAUCGUGGAUCAGCAUGCCACGGUGAAUACGCUCCCGGGCCUUGUACACACCGCCCGUC
rnacentral:rRNA from 1 species